CUGCAUUUUACCUGCAGUUACUCUUUAUAUAGUUAGGUAGGAGUCAGACCAUGUUUCUUUUUAGCUGAAAAACAUUACACCAGGUAACCUGCAGUGUUGAAAACUUGUUUUCCGACGAUGCUACCCUACAAUCCGUCCUGCUCUGUAGUAAAUUCAGCGACAUCUGACCGUCCUGUUGCUCCCAUUGAAAUAUACAGCCAGGUUCAUAAUGGAUAUAAGGAAGUUUUUUCAAAAACAGGUGCAACAUUCAGUCCAAAGAGGGAGAGAGGAAAGAGGGGAACGUGAGGAGAAAGUAGAAGGUCAGGAAGAACCAGAGUUUCUACCAGAGCCAAAUGUCAUCGACUCCUCACUGAAGUCGUCCACCAGUCCAACCACUGGAAUCCAGCUGCUGCUCUCUAACUGGUCCACACAGCAGCUCAGACCUGACACAUUCACUGUAAACACACUGGUUUAUAUUCUGUUUGUUCUCCUCAUGAAGGAAACCUCACACAACCACUGAGGGCAGAAAGUUCAAAUGGAGAGUUUUUGUUAUUUUCUUUUAUAAAGAAGCUCAAGAGAACAGGCCUUUCAGAAUAAAAGCAUGACCAAGACAUCAUUUAUACAUAAACAAUAAUAAAUGGAAUGUAACUAAAAUGUAGAUUGUAGUGGCGGCACUCCGUCUCUAUUUCACUCUUCUGUCCCACCUUUAGGAGUCAGUCCGGCAACAUGCAUUUGAACGCGAGCAAGUCCAUUUUCUUUUCUUGCAAAAAAGAUGUUUAUUGAAACUUUGAAUUUACAUGGCAAGGCUCGGUCAAAAAACUGUGUUGCUUCCAGCUUAUCCGACUCCCCAACUACGUAAUUACGGUGUGCCGGAAGCCCAAAAUACUAAAAAGCGCAUUAGAAUGUCGCACUUCUAUAUUUUUAUACCUUUAACAAACAGUAUUUGAAAUUAACUAGAAAAUAUAUUCUUAGCAACAAACAUGUAUAUUUCUCCUUUAAUCGUUUUACCACUACCAAUAAAAUUAACCUUUAACUGGCUCUUACAUCAUCCGGCCCCUAAUUGGUUAGGCGGGAGAACUAAACAAUUACUAACUUACACAUUAAUCAUUAAGAGCCAACCUAAUUGUAAUGUCCAUGAGCAAACAUUCUUUCUCUUCAUCGUUCUGAUGAAGCCCCCUCCAGAAGACACAACUUAUUAACGGGUCUUUCCAGGAUGUUGCUUUUAGUUUUUACUUUCAAUCUUCGGACUGUUCCACUUGAAUCUGGCAACGUCUCAACCACUCUCCCCAUGAGCCAAGAGUUGCGUGGAGAAGAACUGUCCACCAGCAGCACAAGAUCUCCGACCAUGAAGUUUCUUCUCGGUUUCAGCCACUUCUGGCGCUCUUGCAGAAGUGGAAGAUAUUCACGAGUCCAUCUGGUCCAAAACAAAUCUGCCAGAUAUUGAACCUGUCUCCAUCUUCUUCUGGUGUAUGCAUCAUUUUUGUUGAAGACACCUGGAGGCAUGAGGGGCUGUGACUUAAGCAACAACAGAUGGCUCGGAGUUAAAGCUUCAACGUCAUUCAUGUCAUCCGAGACGCUUGUGAGAGGUCUGCCAUUAAUGAUGCUUUCAAUCUCACACAUUAUCGUAUGAAGACAAUCUUCAUUUGGCACUUGUUCCUUCAAGAGAGCGCUGAGAAUUCGACGCACUGUUCGAAUUUGUCUCUCCCAAACUCCACCUUGAUGUGAAGCAGCCGGGCUGUUAAAAAUCCACUUUAUACCUUUUGGUUGUAGGACUCUUUCUAUUCUGUCAUUAUCCAAUCUUUGCAUGGCUUCCCUCAACUCCCUUUCCGCUGCCACAAAGUUUGUGCCAUUAUCUGACCUCAUGAUGGUAACUUGACCUCUUCUGCAGAUGAAACGUCGAAUCGCAUUGAUACAGGAGUCUGUGUCAAGACUGUCUGCAACUUCAAUAUGUACAGCUCUGAGAGUGAGGCAGGUAAACAUGACACCAUAUCUUUUGACAGUACCCCGGCCCCGCUUGACAUCAAAUGGGCCAAAGUAGUCAACACCAGUGUUCGUGAACGGAGGUUUGUCUGGUAGAAGACGGUCUUCAGGUAAGUCUGCCAUCCUCUGUUCACCAACCCUUCCAGAAAUCCUACGGCAAAUUUGACAUUUGUUGAUUAUCUUUCUAAUUGCCGAAUUGGCUUGUGGAAUCCAAUAUCUGCAUCGCAACCGGGCCAGCACAUAAUUGCGACCACAGUGACCAAUUCGUUGAUGGAUAUCUCUCAAGAUGAUUUCAGAGACUUUGCUGUGUUUAGAAAGAAUUGCUGGCUGUUUAGCAUUUUCUGGCAAGCCUGAUUUAUUGAGUCUGCCGCCCACUCUCAGCACCCCAUCUCGCAGAACUGGGUCUAAUUUGAACAGCUGGCUGCUACAACUGAGCUGUCCUCCCUUCUGUAGGAUUUUGAUCUCCUCUCCAUAAUGUUGUUUCUGGCUGAAGCGAACAAUUUCUGACUCGGCAGCCUCAAGAUCCUCCAAAGCAAGUGCUUUCUUUCCCAUUGCAGAUUUAAAUGUCUCCAUGUGCACUUGCAACUUUAACUUUUGCUUUUCAGGAUCAUUUUCAUUUUUCUGGACUAUGUUCGAGUAAUGUUUUCUUUCUUCCUUUAAGAUCCACAGCACCUUCCUUAGCUUUAUUAUCCAGGCCACUGCUCUUUUCAGUUUAGUCCAGUCUGAAUAGUAGUCAAUGACAUGUUUCAUCGGUUCCAUGCAUUCCUCAACUUUCAGCAUAUUAACCGUUGCUGAAGUCUUGACUUCUGGAUCAUCUUGAAGGUUUUCCCUCUUUCUCACUGGCUGUUCUGGCCAUUCAUUUUCAUCUAGAAGAUAGUUCGGCCCGUGAAUCCAUGAACCUCUUUCCAGCAGAUCUUUUGGCUUUAAGCCUCUGCUUGCUUGAUCUGCAGGAUUUUCUGCCGAUGUCACAUACUUCCAUUGCGAUGGCUUGGUUGCUUCUCGAAUCAGUGAAACUCUAUUUGCAACGAAAGUUUUGAAGCGAGAUGUUUCGCUAUCAAUGUAUCUAAGCACAGUUGUGCUGUCC
ensembl:lncRNA